rnacentral:rRNA from 1 species
GUGCCAGCCGCCGCGGUAAUACAGAGGGUGCAAGCGUUAAUCGGAAUUACUGGGCGUAAAGCGAGCGUAGGUGGCUUGAUAAGUCAGAUGUGAAAUCCCCGGGCUUAACCUGGGAACUGCAUCUGAUACUGUCAGGCUAGAGUAGGUGAGAGGAAGGUAGAAUUCCAGGUGUAGCGGUGAAAUGCGUAGAGAUCUGGAGGAAUACCGAUGGCGAAGGCAGCCUUCUGGCAUCAUACUGACACUGAGGCUCGAAAGCGUGGGUAGCAAACAGGAUUAGAUACCCUGGUAGUCCACGCCGUAAACGAUGUCUACUAGUCGUUGGGUCCCUUGAGGACUUAGUGACGCAGCUAACGCAAUAAGUAGACCGCCUGGGGAGUACGGCCGCAAGGUUAAAACUCAAAUGAAUUGACGGGGGCCCGCACAAGCGGUGGAGCAUGUGGUUUAAUUCGAUGCAACGCGAAGAACCUUACCUGGUCUUGACAUAUCUAGAAUCCUGCAGAGAUGCGGGAGUGCCUUCGGGAAUUAGAAUACAGGUGCUGCAUGGCUGUCGUCAGCUCGUGUCGUGAGAUGUUGGGUUAAGUCCCGCAACGAGCGCAACCCUUGUCCUUAGUUACCAGCGGGUUAAGCCGGGAACUCUAAGGAUACUGCCAGUGACAAACUGGAGGAAGGCGGGGACGACGUCAAGUCAUCAUGGCCCUUACGACCAGGGCUACACACGUGCUACAAUGGUAGGUACAGAGGGCAGCUACACAGCGAUGUGAUGCGAAUCUCAAAAAGCCUAUCGUAGUCCAGAUUGGAGUCUGCAACUCGACUCCAUGAAGUAGGAAUCGCUAGUAAUCGCGGAUCAGAAUGCCGCGGUGAAUACGUUCCCGGGCCUUGUACACACCGCCCGU